AUCCGUGAAGCCAUCUCUUCGGGACCUACAGGUUUGACCAGAAUUCACAGCAUCACGUGAAUGCAGGAGUCGUAGCAAGGAAUUCCUGCCGUGAGGAGUAUGUAAACGCGCCAGACGCCUCAUUGUUACGGCGAGAAGAAGGCUGACUAGGGAACGGCAUAUAUAUAUACCGUCAGAGAGAAGAUAGGCCGCGCACGAUCAGAAUAAUGCCUGUCGGUGUACUUGAACGAGGCAACCGGAGGUGUUAGUGGACUAUAAAGAGAGAAGCACAGAACGGUCGGCUCGUGCACGAGCCACACAGCGGGACACUGUUG
rnacentral:misc_RNA from 1 species